rnacentral:rRNA from 1 species
CCCUACGGGGCGCAGCAGUGGGGAAUAUUGCACAAUGGGGGAAACCCUGAUGCAGCGACGCCGCGUGAGUGAAGAAGUAUUUCGGUAUGUAAAGCUCUAUCAGCAGGGAAGAAAAUGACGGUACCUGACUAAGAAGCCCCGGCUAACUACGUGCAAGCAGCCGCGGUAAUACGUAGGGGGCCAGCGUUAUCCGGAUUUACUGGGUGUAAAGGGAGCGUAGACGGCGGAACAAGUCAGAAGUGAAAACC